rnacentral:rRNA from 1 species
UACGAAGGGGGCUAGCGUUGUUCGGAAUUACUGGGCGUAAAGCGCGCGCAGGCGGCUACUCCAAGUCAGUGGUGAAAGCCCGGAGCUUAACUCCGGAACUGCCAUUGAAACUGUUUAGCUUGAGUAUGAGAGAGGUGAGUGGAAUUCCCAGUGUAGAGGUGAAAUUCGUAGAUAUUGGGAAGAACACCGGUGGCGAAGGCGGCUCACUGGCUCAUUGACUGACGCUCAGGCGCGACAGCGUGGGGAGUCAAACAGG